rnacentral:rRNA from 1 species
GAUGAACGCUGGCGGCGUGCCUAAUACAUGCAAGUCGAGCGAACGGACGAGAAGCUUGCUUCUCUGAUGUUAGCGGCGGACGGGUGAGUAACACGUGGAUAACCUACCUAUAAGACUGGGAUAACUUCGGGAAACCGUAGCUAAUACCGGAUAAUAUUUUGAACCGCAUGGUUCAAAAGUGAAAGACGGUCUUGCUGUCACUUAUAGAUGGAUCCGCGCUGCAUUAGCUAGUUGGUAAGGUAACGGCUUACCAAGGCAACGAUGCGUAGCCGACCUGAGAGGGUGAUCGGUCACACUGGAACUGAGACACGGUCCAGACUCCUACGGGAGGCAGCAGUAGGGAAUCUUCCGCAAUGGGCGAAAGCCUGACGGAGCAACGCCGCGUGAGUGAUGAAGGUCUUCGGAUCGUAAAACUCUGUUAGUAGGGAAGAACAUAUGUGUAAGUAACUGUGCACAUCUUGACGGUACCUAAUCAGAAAGCCACGGCUAACUACGUG